AUCACGGACGCAGCAGCCCCGCACGGGACUGGAAGGAAAGCCCUCGCCUGUCGCCUCAAUCUCAAACCGCCGCGCAGUCACCGCUCGCUGUGGCGCCGACGACAAUCGUGAAUCGUCGACUCCCCAUAGUCCGUCCCUUGCUGCUCGUGUUCCUGAGCGGCGGCGUUGCAUCGGCACAACGGCACUGCAGCGGCACGGCGACGGCGACGGUGAUCGCAUCUCUUCAAUCCUCCAAUUCCCUAACUUCAGUUGACAUCAAGGACAGCUAAUGAAGAGGUUUUUCAAGAAAUCAACAACUUCUACGAUGCCCGAACUAGUUGAUUUGGAGAACCUUCCUAGGGAUCCAUCUAAAAGGAAAAGGGUUAUAAAUUACAAUCUGAAUCAGCAUGAGGAUAUAUGAAGGAAAUACUUGAUGUAGGGGGUCCCAUCGACCUCGUCCGAAAACUUUUAAGCUAAAGAUGAAUGGGAAGAUCAAUAGGUAUUUAAAUCCUGAUUGGUAUGAGGAGUAUGGUGGUAAUUGGCUAGAGUAGGCAGCGGACAAUGCAUAUUGCUCGUGUUGCUAUUUAUUCAGGGACAACAUCAAAGGUAACAAACCCGGGCAUGAUGCAUUUGUAGUAGAUGGCUUUCACAAUUGAAAGAGGCCAGAAAGAUUUAUGACUCAUGUAGGUGAUCGCAACAAUUUCCACAAUAAAGCAGUAAAAAUUUCAUGAA